AAAAUGCAUAGAACCAUUGCUGCUGUUCAAAAGCUCGUAGUUGGAUCUGUGCCGGCGACGUGGUCCACCCGAAAGGGCGGCACUGCGCUCGUCGGCUUUGGGCCGGUCUUCGUGCGGUCGCCUUCAUCGGUGGCCGUGCGUGGCUGGCUGGUUUACUUUGAGCAAAUCAGAGUGCUCAGCACAGGCGUUUCGCCGGAAUGUUCGUGCAUGGAAUAAUAGAAAAGGAUUUCGGUCCUCUUUUAUUGGUUUUGUGGACUGAGAUAAUGGUUAACAGAGACGAACGGGGGCAUUCGUAUUGCUGCGUGAGAGGUGAAAUUCUUGGACCGCAGCAGGACGGACUACAG
rnacentral:rRNA from 1 species